rnacentral:rRNA from 1 species
GACGAACGCUGGCGGCGUGCUUAACACAUGCAAGUCGAACGGAAAGGCCCUGCUUUUGUGGGGUGCUCGAGUGGCGAACGGGUGAGUAACACGUGAGUAACCUGCCCUUGACUUUGGGAUAACUUCAGGAAACUGGGGCUAAUACCGGAUAGGAGCUCCUGCUGCAUGGUGGGGGUUGGAAAGUUUCGGCGGUUGGGGAUGGACUCGCGGCUGAUCAGCUUGUUGGUGGGGGAGUGGCUUACCAAGGCUUUGACGGGUAGCCGGCCUGAGAGGGUGACCGGCCACAUUGGGCCUGAGAUAGGGCCCGGACUCCUACGGGAGGCAGCAGUGGGGAAUAUUGCACAAUGGGCGGAAGCCUGAUGCAGCACCGCCGCGUGCGGGAUGACGGCCUUCGGGUUGUAAACCGCUUUCGCCUGUGACGAAGCGUGAGUGACGGUAAUGGGUAAAGAAGCACCGGCUAACUACGU